UACGGGGGGAGCAAGCGUUGUUCGGAUUUACUGGGCGUAAAGGGCGCGUAGGCGGUCAGCACAAGUCAGUUGUGAAAUCUCCGGGCUUAACUCGGAAAGGUCAACUGAUACUGUGCGACUAGAGUGCGGAAGGGGCAACUGGAAUUCUCGGUGUAGCGGUGAAAUGCGCAGAUAUCAGGAGGAACACCGGUGGCGAAGGCGGGUCUCUGGGCCGAUACUGACGCUGGAGGAGCGAAAGCGUGGGGAGCGAACAGG
rnacentral:rRNA from 1 species